rnacentral:rRNA from 1 species
CAUGCAAGUCGAGCGCGAACGUUCCUUCGGGAACAAGUAGAGCGGCGGACGGGUGAGUAACGCGUGGGAAAUUGCCCAGUAGUGGGGGACAACAUUCGGAAACGGAUGCUAAUACCGCAUACGCCCUACGGGGGAAAGCAGGGGAUCUUCGGACCUUGCGCUAUUGGAUAUGCCCGCGUCGGAUUAGCUAGUUGGUGAGGUAAUGGCUCACCAAGGCAACGAUCCGUAGCUGGUCUGAGAGGAUGAUCAGCCACACUGGGACUGAGACACGGCCCAGACUCCUACGGGAGGCAGCAGUGGGGAAUAUUGGACAAUGGGCGCAAGCCUGAUCCAGCCAUGCCGCGUGUGUGAAGAAGGCUCUAGGGUUGUAAAGCACUUUCAGUAGGGAGGAAGGCCUUAAAGUUAAUACCUUUGAGGAUUGACGUUACCUACAGAAGAAGCACCGGCUAACUCCGUGCCAGCAGCCGCGGUAAUACGGAGGGUGCGAGCGUUAAUCGGAAUUACUGGGCGUAAAGCGCGCGUAGGCGGUUAGUUAAGCUGGAUGUGAAAGCCCCGGGCUCAACCUGGGAACUGCAUUCAGAACUGGCUGGCUAHAHAGCGAGAGAG